rnacentral:rRNA from 1 species
CCCAGUUCGGAUUGUAGUCUGCAACCCGACUACAUGAAGCUGGAAUCGCUAGUAAUCGCAGGUCAGCAUAUUGCGGUGAAUACGUUCCCGGGUCUUGUACACACCGCCCGUCACACCAUGGGAGCCGGAAAUGCCCGAAGCCAGUGACCCAACCUUAGGGAGGGAGCUGUCGAAGGUGGAGCCGGUAACUGGGGUGAAGUCGUAACAAGGUAAC